CUUAAUUUGGUAAACAGAAAUUUUAAACAUAACUUAUGUAAAUAUAUUUGUUUCAAAGUUACAGUUUAGUUUGUAAUAGUUUUAGUUUACUAUUAUUGUUUAAUUAUGUCACUGUGUACAUAUCUUGAAUGUACAGUUAAGUUUUGGUAUUGCGGGCUGCCAUAGAUUUAUUUAUAUGGGAGAUAACUCAGGGUUUACUUGCGACAAAAUUGCGGGACAAAUAAUAUUGUGUAUUUUCACCAGUUUAGAGCCAAAAUAAGUCAUGGUUAGUGUUAUACAUUUAUUAUUCAAUACAUUAAUGUUAGUUUUCCAUUGUCGCCAAGUAACAAAGCUUGUAUAAGCAAAGAAACAUUAGUUCUCCUGAAUUUCCCAUUCCAGCCUUGUGAUUUCUAUAUUUUGAGACUUUGUUUAUUUACUAUCCUAAUAGUUAAGACUGAUGCCUAUAGUUUAAGCGCAUUUAAAUAUAUUACUUUAUUUAAAUUGUAUUUUACUUUAGAGUAAAUUAACUCAGUAGUCCCAGAAUGUUUUAUUUUAGUAUGUGAGCUAGGUCCCCAGAGAUAACUUAAGUAGUUAUCCCCCCUUGAUAUGCAAAUUAGUUUGCAAGUGUUUGUUUUAAUUAGAGUAUUUUGUAUAUAAACUUGUUUGAGAUUAAUUACAUGUUUCAGUGUGGCAUGUCUAUGGAGAGUCAUUUUAAACAAUGCAGAUUGUUUAUAUUUAGUUUUAAUAUUUUAUAAAGAUGAUAAAAUUUAAUGUUUAAGAAUUUUUUAGUCAAAAAUACAAUUUGAAAUUUAUAAAUCUUUAGUCAAAAAUACAAUUUGAAAUUUAUAUCUGUUUGGUUAAGG
rnacentral:lncRNA from 1 species